CUCUUAUUUAGAGUGGUGGAGGGAAGUGCCCGAUGAAACCCGGCAACCGUCAAUGAAAAUUGACACGGUGCCAAUUCACUCGAAGCGAAGGCUUCGACAGAUGAGGG
rfam:Bacillus marisflavi strain JCM 11544 super9, whole genome shotgun sequence.